rnacentral:misc_RNA from 1 species
GAUGAAGAACGCAGCGAAAUGCGAUAAGUAAUGUGAAUUGCAGAAUUCAGUGAAUCAUCGAAUCUUUGAACGCAUCUUGCGCUCCUUGGUAUUCUGAGGAGCAUGCCUGUUUGAGUGUCAUUAAAUUCUCAACUACACUGACUUUGAAUUGGUGUGGCUUGGAUUUGGGGGGGAAAAUUGUUGUGGGCUUUCUGUAUAGUCUGCUCCCCUGAAAUUGAUUAGCGGUACCUUUGUGGAACUGUCUACAGGUGUGAUAAUUAUCUACAUCCUAGACAUCUGCUGGAAUGCUGCUUUCUAAACCUUACUUGUAUUGACAAUCUUGACCUCAAAUCAGGUAGGACUACCCGCUGAACUUAAGCAUAUCAAUAAGCGGAGGA